AUCCAGCUGACGAGCCCCAAAUAGGAGGAAGCGCGCGUCCUGGAU
rnacentral:hammerhead_ribozyme from 1 species